rnacentral:lncRNA from 1 species
AAACGAUCAGGUCUUCAUUUGUGUCAGGAUGAGGUUCUCCUCCUGUUUCCGACACAGUCAAUUUUAGCUCAUGUUAGGAUGACAUUUUUUUUCUGUUCCUAACAGGACUGUGGGGGCACAUAAGGGCCGUUGCGAGGGCCUCUCCUCCCAUCCGGUCUCUUAAUAAUCGAGUCUUCAACUUUGCUCAUGUUAAGAUGAGGUUCUCC